CAGCAGCCACGGGAAUACGGAGGGGGCUAGCGUUAUUCGGAAUUACUGGGCGUAAAGCGCACGUAGGCGGAUCAGAAAGUCAGAGGCGAAAUCCCAGGGCUCAACCUUGGAACUGCCUUUGAAACUCCUGAUCUUGAGGUCGAGAGAGGUGAGUGGAAUUCCGAGUGUAGAGGUGAAAUUCGUAGAUAUUCGGAGGAACACCAGUGGCGAAGGCGGCUCACUGGCUCGAUACUGACGCUGAGGUGCGAAAGCGUGGGGAGCAAACAGGAUUAGAUACCCCUGUAGUCCCUGUCUCUAUACA
rnacentral:rRNA from 1 species